CUCAAGUUAUACGUUGUGCAGUGGAUAAUAUCAGAUAUCCAAAACAACACUCCCGAGUGCAAAUAAAAGGGUUUGAAACUUCCUAACCUAGAAUCAAGCGGGCGGCUUCUCGCCGACAUUGGUUGAUAUUCAAUUGUAUUUAGGAUUGAAAUUGGUGGCUAAAAUUUGCCUUAAUUGAGCAGCAUAACUGCAUGUCAAGUUUAUUGUUAAAUUUUGGACAGCGCAUAUUCAGUGAAAUACAUCUUAAGUGAAACAACCAUCAUUUAAGAAUUAUAAAGAGGCGAAAAUUGAUUGAUUUUACUGCACGAAAAUCAAAGGAUUAAUUGUUAUAGAUGGAGGCCAAUACUAAUACCAAUGAAACUCAAGUUUCAUAUUAUUUAAAUCAAAUGGUGAAUAUGUCGGAAG